GCGGGUCUAUUUCAAGUAGCUGCUGUUUAAAAACGAUAUAAUAUUCUUUGUGUGGUUCAUCAACGGUGAAUUACACCCGGAUUACACCUGAUGAAGGAGCUGGGGCACCGUCUCUUCCGUGCUGAGUGGGUGAUUAGCUCGCACCUGUUCAGCCUGGCCGAGCUGCACAUUGGCCAAUGGAGGUUGGAGCUGGCCAACCAGGAUGAACCAUGGGAAAUAAAAGGAGCACCCCAGAAGAAUUUGGGCUCUCUCUCACCCAUGCAAUCAUCAUUGUUUUGUAGCAGCAGUGUACCACAGCUCUGUGUUCAUUCUGACCAUUUUAUUUUGUGGAAUAAACUUUAAUUUGCUCUUU